GACGAACGCUGGCGGCGUGCUUAACACAUGCCAGUCGAACGAUGAACCGGUUUCGGCCGGGGAUUAGUGGCGAACGGGUGAGUAACACGUGGGCAAUCUGCCCUGCACUCUGGGAUAAGCCCGGGAAACUGGGUCUAAUACCGGAUACGACACUCCGAGGCAUCUUGGGGUGUGGAAAGUUCCGGCGGUGCAGGAUGAGCCCGCGGCCUAUCAGCUUGUUGGUGGGGUAAUGGCCUACCAAGGCGACGACGGGUAGCCGGCCUGAGAGGGUGACCGGCCACACUGGGACUGAGACACGGCCCAGACUCCUACGGGAGGCAGCAGUGGGGAAUAUUGCACAAUGGGCGAAAGCCUGAUGCAGCGACGCCGCGUGAGGGAUGACGGCCUUCGGGUUGUAAACCUCUUUCAGCAGGGAAGAAGCGAAAGUGACGGUACCUGCAGAAGAAGCACCGGCUAACUACGUG
rnacentral:rRNA from 1 species